rnacentral:lncRNA from 12 species
UUUUUUCUUAUUUUCUUUUUCUUUUUUUUUUUUUUAUUUUGCAUCCUCUUGUUUCCUUGGCAACAAGUUGGUGAUGCAGGAGCUAGAAAUGUGCUAUGUCUCCGUGGAGAUGUUGGCGUGGGUGUGCCAUGGUGACAUCCACGAUGGACGCACAGCUCUGCCAAUCCAACCCCACCCCUUGUAAUGAGCACCAUGGGCCCAACCUCAGAGACUGUAAUCAUCUUUGCAGCAUAUUGUUCUGGGGUCAGCAUCCUCAGGGAUACAUUGGUGCAUCAAAUGAUGGAAAGAAGCUGGAGAGGAAAACCAAAGCGAAUCCAGCCAAAGCAAGAUAAGCUUCUCUUCCAGCCAUGCUGGCAGAUUUCUUUUGCCUUCUCUCCUACACUUCUUAAAU